GUUUUGCUUGUUUUGCUCUGUUUGUCGUAGGUUUUUUGCCCGACGAAGCGCCGAUCGUUCUCGAAGUCGUCGCCGAAGUUCCUCGUGGGUCAGAGCAAGGCAAGUGACACCAUUCCUUGAACAUAUUGAACCUAUGAUUAUAAGAUUCUCCCGCUUUACAUUCAAACAUGCAUUACUUAUUGCAAAUUUACUUUACUUUAUUUAUCUAUUGGGGAUUUACCUUUAUUUAUACCCGUUGAUUCCCAUUGUUUAUUUUUGUCAUCCCAGGGAUAAUUUGACUAGAAUUAGGGUUAGGCAAUGCUUAGCCAUGCUUAGUUCAACUAGCUCAUGGGUUUAAUGUUUCAUUAAUGCUAGACUGUAAUAGUUCUUGAUAAUGAUUAAUUUCCUGAUGUGGAUUAAAUAAAACUAAAAUAUUGCUUACGGUGGGCGGUGGGUGCAUGGUUUUGAGAGUCGCACUCAUGGCAAUUAAGGACCGGUUCUCGGGAAACCCUGGAAGUCUUACACGUACUAACCACAUGCCGAAAUGGAUAUGUUGGGAUUUGAAGCAUGGCUUCAAACUAUUUUACGUACCAAGGCAAGGGUGGGCGUGAUGGAGUAUGGAUGGGAGUCAUGGUGUAACAAUGGCCUAUGCUACUUCCGGAUUCACCAAGGCACAAGAGGAGACUGCCCUACUUGGUGUAAAGGAGGGGGUGAAACCUGAAGUGCGGUGCGAUUGAAUAGGGAGGGUUAUGUGACAGGUCCUAUCACAGUUUCCUUUCCGUGGUAUCAUGGUGAUACACCGGCGUACGUUCAAGUGUAGUGGGGCUGUGUCUUGUGGGUAAAGUUGUACACCUCUAAUCAGAGUAUAAUCUAUUCGAAUAGACGUUGUCCACGGUUAUGGGCGAACUCCCAGAUUCACUGGGAUUAGUCAAACCUUUAAUAACUUGAUGAACUUGGAACUAGUUUGACCCUGCGCAAUGUGGUGUAACAUUGGGUAGUGGUUUGGGUCUACCGCAACGUGGUGUAACGUUGGGCAGAGGGUUGACCUUGUCGCAACGUGGUGUAGCAUUCGACAGCGGUUUGGGCCUGUUGCAACGUGGUGUAACGUUGAACAGUGAAUGGUUAUUUUCAUGUACUUUACUUUACUUUUUAUUCACUUCUUAUUCAGUCUAUUUACUUCCUUGCUAAAUAAAUGAUGCUUUGUGCAAUUUAACCUCAGCCUAUCCUUGAUACCCUAUUGGAUUCAUUAUUCUUCCUCUCUUGGGUGUUACUUGUUGAGUACCAGGAUUUGUACUCAGCCUUGCUUAAUUUUUCCUCACCAGAGCAAGAGCAGAGCCUUUGUCAGAAGGAGGUAGUUCCGAAGGUUGAAGUGAGGUUCAGUCCGCCGUCAAGAAUGCCUAUGAAGUGGAACCAUCAUCGCCAAGCUGAUGAUUAGAUGUUUCUAGUCUUGUUUCCCUUUUCCGCUGCAAUUCGAUAGAUAAUUGUUUUUAUUUGUUUUCAAGUCGUGGAACUGUGUAUUAAUUUAUCAUAGUGUGUACUCGGGCUGAUUCCUGGACCAAGAUUUAAUACAUGCUAUUGUUCAGAAAUUGGUGUAAAUUUCUGGGCGUGACAAUAGCCCUAAUGUGCCCAUAGAAAUCCAAGGGAGACCAUUUCUAGCCAAUCUCAUCCUUCUCGAAUCCAAAGACCGAGAUGUGAUUUUGGGAAUGCACUGGCUUACCAAGCAUCAAGGAGUGAUUAAUUGUGCCAAGCGUACCGUCACCUUGACCAGUGAAGGCGGUGAAGUUGUGACUUAUCAGUCGCCGGAGUCAGUGAUAAUCGGGACCAGUUUGAAUUAGAUGAAAGCAGAAGGGCAAUCUUCAGAAGCAGUCAAAGAUCCAAAGAGAUGUGAUUUUGGGAAUGCACUGGCUUACCAAGCAUCAAGGAGUGAUUAAUUGUGCCAAGCGUACCGUCACCUUGACCAGUGAAGGCGGUGAAGUUGUGACUUAUCAGUCGCCGGAGUCAGUGAUAAUCGGGACCAGUUUGAAUUAGAUGAAAGCAGAAGGGCAAUCUUCAGAAGCAGUCAAAGAUCCAAAGAAGUUGAAAGACAUACCAGUGGUUUGUGAGUAUCCGGAGGUUUUUCCAGAUGAUCUCACGACGAUGCCGCCAGAAAGAGAGAUCGAGUUCCGUAUCGACUUGGUACCAGGAACUGCACCAAUCUACAAGAGACCCUACAGAAUGGCAGCUAAUGAGAUGGCAGAAGUGAAGAAGCAAGUGGAUGAACAGCUUCAGAAAGGUUGCAUCUGACCGAGUACCUCACCUUGGGGUGUCCCGGUUAUCUUUGUUGAGAAGGACAAAACCAAGAGAAUGUGUGUGGACUAUCGUGCUUGAACGAUGUCACCAUCAAGAAUAAGUAUCUUCUGCCAAGGAUUGAUGAUCUGUUUGAUCAGUUGAAGGGGGCCAAAGUCUUUUCUAAGAUCGAUUUGAAAUCAGGAUAUCACUAGUUGAGAAUUCGGGAAGAAGAUGUUCCCAAGACGGCAUUCACUACUCGCUACGGCUUGUAUGAAUGUACAGUAAUGUCGUUUGGACUUACUAAUGCCCCAGCAUUCUUCAUGAAUCUCAUGAAUAAGGUGUUCAUGGAAUACUUGGAUAAAUUUGUGGCUGCCUUCAUUGAUGACAUUCUUAUCUACUCCAAGUCAGAAGAAUAGCAUGAGCAACAUUUGCGGAUCGUGCUAGAGAAGCUAAGAGAACACCAGUUGUAUGCCAAGUUCAGCAAGUGUGAUUUCUGGCUUCGUGAAGUGAAGUUCUUAGGUCAUGUGAUCAAUGCUCAAGGAGUAGCAGUGAACCCCAGUAAUGUGGAGUUAGUAACAAAGUGGACCCCGCCUAAGAUGGUUUCCCAGAUCAGAAGUUUCUUAAGCCUUGCAGACUAUUACCGCCGGUUCAUUGAGAACUUCUCGAAAAUAGCCAAGCCAAUGACCCAGUUGCUGAAAAAGGAAGAGAAGUUCAGAUGGUCCAUCGAGUGCGACAAGAGUUUUGAAGAGCUCAAGCAAAGAUUGGUGUCAGCACCCGUGUUGAUUUUGCUAGAUCAGGUGAAAGACUUCCAGGUUUACUGUGAUGCCUCCAGAUCAGGGCUUGGAUGUGUGCUGAUGCAAGAAGGAAAGGUGGUUGCUUAUGUCUCUUGUCAGUUGAGACCGCAUGAGGGUAACUGCCCGACUCAUGAUUUGGAACUAGCAGCCGUAGUGCAUGCCCUAAAAAUCUGGCGACAGUACUUAAUUGUAAUUGGUAACAAGUGUGAAGUUUAUACCGAUUAUAAGAGUCUAAAGUAUAUCUUUACACAACCGGAUUUGAACCUCCGCCAGCGAAGAUAGUUGGAAUUGAUCGAGGAUUAUGAUUUAAGCAUUCAUUAUCAUCUAGGAAAAGCAAAUGUAGUUGCAGAUGCUUUGAGCCGGAAGAAUUACUGCAAUGCUGCGGUAUCAAUAGAAGUUUGUGAGCGGUUGCAGCAGGAGUUUGAACGACUAAAUUUGGGUUUAGUCGAACAAGGUUUUGUGGCAGCCCUAGAGGCGCAGCCCACAUUGGUGGAUUAAGUUCGCCAAUCCCAAGCAAAUGAUCCAGAGAUAGCCGAACUAAAGAAAAAUAAGCGAGUUGGUAAAGCUCAAGAUUUUUCAGAAGAUGAACAUGGGACAAUCUGGAUGGGAAAUAGGUUGUGUGUACCGAAUAACAAGGAGCUAAAGGAGUUGAUACUUCAAGAAGCCCAUCAAACUCAGCACUCUAUCCACCCCGGGAGUACAAAAAUGUAUGAAGAUCUCAAGGAAAAGUUCUGGUGGGUUAGUAUGAAGAGAGAAAUUGCAGAGUAUGUCGCCUUGUGCGAUGUCUGUCAACGAGUCAAGGCAGAACACCAAAGACUAGCAGGACUGUUACAGCCUCUCCAGAUUCCAGAAUGGAAAUGGGAAGAAUUCGGGAUGGAUUUCAUCACCGGAUUACCAAGAACCGCUGCUGGUCAUGACUCGAUUUGGGUAAUCGUUGAUCGACUGACGAAGGUCGUCCAUUUCAUACCAGUUCACACCAUCUAUUCCGUGAAGAAACUAGCUGAGAUUUACUUGGCCAGGAUCAUGUUUUUACAUGGGGUACCUAAAAAGAUUGUUUCUGAUCGAGGAAGUCAGUUUACCUUGAUGUUUUGGCAUAAGCUACAGGAAGAAUUAGGAACCCAACUGAAUUUUAGUACAGCUUAUCAUCCGCAGACAGAUGGUCAGAUGGAAAGGGUAAACCAAAUUCUUGAAGACAUGCUCAUAGCAUGCGCUCUCGACUUUGGUGGAGCAUGGGAUACGAAUUUACCGUAUGUGGAAUUCUCUUAAAACAACAAUUACUAAGCCAGUUUGCAAAUGGCUCCGUUUGAAGCUUUGUAUGGGCGAAAAUGUCAUACACCCCUCUUCUGGGACCAAGCAGGAGAACGUCAAAUUUUCGGAACUGAGGUUUUGAGUCAGGUAGAAGAAAAAGUUAGAAUAAUCCAUGAAAGCUUGAAAACAGCUCAAACCAGUCAGAAGAGUUAUGUAGAUAAUCGUCGAAGGGACGUAGCCUUCGAAGCAGGAGAUUACGUGUACCUCCGCGUCACGCCUUUAAGGGGAGUGCACCGGUUUCAGACCAAGGGAAAGUUGGCACCACGGUUCGUCAGACCAUACCAAAUAAUGGAACGCAUGGGAGAAGUUGCGUAUCAGUUAGAGCUCCCUGCUAACAUCGCCGGAAUUCAUGACGUGUUCCAUGUGUCGCAGCUCAAGAAGUGUCUACGUGUGCCUGAAGAACAGACCAACUCUAAGCACGUCGACUUACAAGAAGAUCUGACAUAUGUGGAGAAGCCAGCACGGAUUCUUGAAACUAGUGAAAGGAACACUUGGAACCAUGUGAUCAGAUUCUGCAGAGUUCAGUGGAGUCACCACUCAGAGGAAGAAGCGACAUGGGAAAGAGAAGAUGAGCUCAAGGCCGCCCAUCCGCACCUCUUCGCCAGCACCUCCGAAUCGCGGGGUCGAGAUUACGUUUAAAGGGGUAGGUUUGUCACACCCGGAGUUUUAUCCUAAGCCUAAAUUCGUAAAAGAAAUUGUAGUUAAUAAUUGGCUUAAUUAACUCAGGAAAAAUCUCUCUAAAGGAUUUAAUUUAAUUAGAUCGUGGUUCGCAAAUCGAUUAACUGGAUUUAAACUCAAAUUGAAGAAGUAUAAAAUUUUGCCAAACAAAUUAAUUUAAAACUCGCAAAAGUGGGGCUUUCCUUUUUCCCUACUUUUUCUUUCUUUUUCCCCUCCUUCCCCAAUUGGGCCGAAGUCCAAUUUUCCUCAUUUCUCUUUUUCUUUUUCCUUUUCUUUUCCCUCUCCUCCUUCCCUGGCCGGCCCACCUUUCCCCCUCCAGGCAUCGUUCUCGAAGUCGUCGCCGAAGUUCCUCGUGGGUCAGAGCAAGGCAAGUGACACCAUUCCUUGAACAUAUUGAACCUAUGAUUAUAAGAUUCUCCCGCUUUACAUUCAAACAUGCAUUACUUAUUGCAAAUUUACUUUACUUUAUUUAUCUAUUGGGGAUUUACCUUUAUUUAUACCCGUUGAUUCCCAUUGUUUAUUUUUGUCAUCCCAGGGAUAAUUUGACUAGAAUUAGGGUUAGGCAAUGCUUAGCCAUGCUUAGUUCAACUAGCUCAUGGGUUUAAUGUUUCAUUAAUGCUAGACUGUAAUAGUUCUUGAUAAUGAUUAAUUUCCUGAUGUGGAUUAAAUAAAACUAAAAUAUUGCUUACGGUGGGCGGUGGGUGCAUGGUUUUGAGAGUCGCACUCAUGGCAAUUAAGGACCGGUUCUCGGGAAACCCUGGAAGUCUUACACGUACUAACCACAUGCCGAAAUGGAUAUGUUGGGAUUUGAAGCAUGGCUUCAAACUAUUUUACGUACCAAGGCAAGGGUGGGCGUGAUGGAGUAUGGAUGGGAGUCAUGGUGUAACAAUGGCCUAUGCUACUUCCGGAUUCACCAAGGCACAAGAGGAGACUGCCCUACUUGGUGUAAAGGAGGGGGUGAAACCUGAAGUGCGGUGCGAUUGAAUAGGGAGGGUUAUGUGACAGGUCCUAUCACAGUUUCCUUUCCGUGGUAUCAUGGUGAUACACCGGCGUACGUUCAAGUGUAGUGGGGCUGUGUCUUGUGGGUAAAGUUGUACACCUCUAAUCAGAGUAUAAUCUAUUCGAAUAGACGUUGUCCACGGUUAUGGGCGAACUCCCAGAUUCACUGGGAUUAGUCAAACCUUUAAUAACUUGAUGAACUUGGAACUAGUUUGACCCUGCGCAAUGUGGUGUAACAUUGGGUAGUGGUUUGGGUCUACCGCAACGUGGUGUAACGUUGGGCAGAGGGUUGACCUUGUCGCAACGUGGUGUAGCAUUCGACAGCGGUUUGGGCCUGUUGCAACGUGGUGUAACGUUGAACAGUGAAUGGUUAUUUUCAUGUACUUUACUUUACUUUUUAUUCACUUCUUAUUCAGUCUAUUUACUUCCUUGCUAAAUAAAUGAUGCUUUGUGCAAUUUAACCUCAGCCUAUCCUUGAUACCCUAUUGGAUUCAUUAUUCUUCCUCUCUUGGGUGUUACUUGUUGAGUACCAGGAUUUGUACUCAGCCUUGCUUAAUUUUUCCUCACCAGAGCAAGAGCAGAGCCUUUGUCAGAAGGAGGUAGUUCCGAAGGUUGAAGUGAGGUUCAGUCCGCCGUCAAGAAUGCCUAUGAAGUGGAACCAUCAUCGCCAAGCUGAUGAUUAGAUGUUUCUAGUCUUGUUUCCCUUUUCCGCUGCAAUUCGAUAGAUAAUUGUUUUUAUUUGUUUUCAAGUCGUGGAACUGUGUAUUAAUUUAUCAUAGUGUGUACUCGGGCUGAUUCCUGGACCAAGAUUUAAUACAUGCUAUUGUUCAGAAAUUGGUGUAAAUUUCUGGGCGUGACAAUAGCCCUAAUGUGCCCAUAGAAAUCCAAGGGAGA
rnacentral:lncRNA from 1 species